UAUGCCAUGGGUGUGGCCCUAAAAGGACAAAAGACAAAAAAAGGAUAUGAAUUUAUUGGAGACUGUGGACCAGGAGGGAGGGAGGAAUUCUUGGCAUAGGAGGUAGCAUAUGAAGAGAGAUGUGUGGCCAGAGAAUGGGCUACCCCUUUGCUGAAAAGGUAAGCCAUUUAGGCUAUUAUCAGAUUUCACAGGGGCCUGUUUACCAUGCUAAUGACUUUGUCCUUCUGUCAGUGGGAAGCCACUGAGAGUUUUGAUGCCAGAAAGUGACAUGUCAGAUUGCCUUCUGGCAGCUUGGAAAAAUAGAUCCACCCAACAGAUCCCCACAUCUCCACUGCUGUACAUAGGCCUAGAGCUGCAUCUCUCAAACUGGAUCCAUGAGUUGUCAGAGAGUGUUCAUCAGUAAAAGAGAUCCAUGAUCACUAAGGUAAGCAAUCAUUUCCUUGCUGUCGAACUCCUCAGAGCCUUUAAUCUGUUAUUGGGACUUGUGGCCUUUUAAGAGGGCUGUAGAAGGUGGUCAGAUCCCACACUGAAGAGUUGACUUUGUCCAAGGUUCCUGGUCCCAUCAGUUUGCCAACUAGUAAAGUCUGCUAGCAGGAGGUGGGAUAAAUCCUCUUGUGUUCCAGUCUUCUGAGUCUCUUGAUUCCAGAAAUCAAGAGCCAUCCACCUGUACACAGAGAUACUACCUGUGGAAAGUAAGUGUUCUUUCAGAUGCCCUGGGAAGGAAGAUAGGCCAUAGCCCAUGGACUCGGAUGAGCCAGAAGGAUUCUGAUUCGUCAGGGUCCUGAGAAACAUUGUCAGCAGAUACUUUCUCCCCUUUUCACCCAUUUUUGAAGUAAUCGGACCUCAGCUUUCUCCUGCCUGUGACAGUCCAUAUCUUUACAUGGCUGAGACCAAAGCCCCUUAAAAAGGAAGCUGACAACAAAAAGUUAACUGGGUAUAGAUGAAAGAACAUCAGAUCAUGGUCCUAAAGGCAAAGAUUUGAAUCUCUGAUUUCCUUUUUCUAACUCUAGUUCUAUCAGUUAGGAAUGCAUCUAGCGUUUAGCUACUAGCAGUGGCCUAAGCAGACAGCAGCUCCUGUUUGCAUGACAGGGUGUUUACAGGUGGGCAGUUUCUCACUGGUUCAGAAGCUUUCCAGUGUCAGAGCACUUUAUUGGCACUUGACAUCUUCUUGAUCUUUUCCUCAUGGCUAAAAGAAGGUUGCAACCACUCCGAACGUGUCAAAACUGCAGUUGGAGAAGGAAGGGUGCAAGAUGGCAGAAAAGAAAAGAGUUCCUACCUACAUGCUUUCCUCUUGUCAGGAAGUAAGUCUUUCCCAAAACACCUCCUCUGUAAAAUCUCCUUCUUAGACCUCGCUAGCCACAUGUGGGCCAAGACUGAGGACUGAAGUCACUUGCAGAAUCAAUGGCUUUCCGAAGACCUAGACAAACUAUGAUUCCACCACAGGUGAAAAGCAAAUGAACUGAAUGGCUUUGGAGAGAGCCAAGAAAACCAUGCCAUCCUCACCUUUUGCACCAUCAUGGCCUCUGUUUCUUCAUUCUCAAUAAACCUUCCCUUAAAGGUUGUUAAGGAAAAUAAGCAAAGUGGCACAUAAUCACUGCUAAAAAAUUAAAGUGUUGGCAUUUUUCAGUAGGCAGUCUUUAUUCUUCUAUAUGUCAUGCUUCUUUUUUUUUUUUUUUUAAGCUAUUUUUAAGAUUUUCUCUUAGGUCCAUUGGAUUUCCUGGAUUUGUUUUCAUCAGUCUGAAAUGUUUUGACCAUUAUUUGUUCAAAUAUUCUUCUGUUCCCCCUACUUACCUGUUAGGGACUCCAACUUCACUUUUAUUAAACAGCUUAAAGCUGUCUCAUGGCUCAGUGAGCUAUUUUCAUAUUUUUGGAUUCUCUUUUCUUUGUUUCACUUUGGAUAGUUUCUGUUACUCUAGCUUCAACUUCCUUAGUCUUUUCUUCUGCAGAGUCUAAUUUUGCAUUAUUCCCAUCCAAUGUAUUUUUCAUCUCACAUAUUGAAGUUUUCAUUCUUGAAAGUUCAGUAUAGACCCUUUUUUAAACCUUCCAUUCCUCUAGUUAACUUUUGAAACACGUGGAAUGCAUUUAUAAUAAGUGUUUCAGUGUAUUUGUCUAUAACUCUAUCAUGUGCGUCAGUCCUGGAUUAACGACUAUUGGUUGAUUUCUCUCCUUAUCUAGGGUCACGUUUUCCUACUGCUUUGUAUGGCUGGUAAUUUUAGAUUGUUCACCAGACAUUGUGACUUUUGUCUUAUUGGAUGCUAGGUAUUUUGCCUUCCUAAAACUAUUUUUGGGCUUUGUUCUGUAAAGUGGUUAUAUUGCCUUGAAACAGUUUGAUGCCUUUGUGCAUUGCUGUUAAGAUUUAUUAGGCAGUACCAGACCAGUAUUUCCUGUAGAGCUAAUCAUUCCCCACAUCUGAGGCAAGAUCUACUAGGAACAGUACCUAAUUCACCAUGGAUCAUGAUGUUUUCACUCUGCUUCAUGGGAACUGGCUGUAUUCUUGGUCCUAUGUGAGCACUGGGCACUGAUCCUUUUAGAUUAUUCUCCCCCAGCCAUUGAUAGUGUGCUUACAUGCAUGCACCAAUAAAUACUCACCUGAAUACUUGAGGGGUUGAGGGUACCCUCUGUAGAUCUUCAAGGGUUUUCUCUGUGUGCAGUUCUCUCUUCUCUGGAAUUCUGCCUUUCCACUCGAGUCACCUUGAUCUCCACAGGCUCUCAGCUCCAUCUUCUCAACUCAGAGAGCAUGAUGGGUUCCUCCUGGAGCCCUCUGUCUCUUUCUAUGAAUUAAGCUUGACAACCAUAAGAUGCACUAUGGUCUUUGUGUUUCAUAGCUCAAGAAUCAUUAUGCCUCCUUGCCUGUUAUCUAGUGUCUUGAAAAUAAGUGUUCAUAUACAUAUAUUUAAGCCAUUUUUUGGUUGUUUUCAGUUGAGAAAGCACAUUUUAUCCCUGCAACUCCACCUUGCCUAGAGUAGAAGACAGUUACCAUCUCUUUUGAUUAAUAUGUCUUUUUUUUUUUUUUAAGUCAGUGAACCACUUAUAAGCUGC